rnacentral:misc_RNA from 1 species
GUGGAUAAGAGGCAGGUGAAUCAUCGAAUCUUUGAACGCACAUUGCGCCCCAUGGUAUUCCGUGGGGCAUGCCUGUUCGAGCGUCAUUUACCCCCUCAAGCUCCGCUUGGUGUUGGGCGUUUGUCCCGCUUCGCGCGCGGACUCGCCCCAAAGGUAUUGGCAGCGGUCGUGCCAGCUUCUCGCGCAGCACAUUGCGCUUCUCGAGGCACCGGCGGGCCCGCGUCCAUGAAGCUCCCCCCAGUUUGACCUCGGAUCAGGUAGGGAUACCCGCUGAACUUAAGCAUAUCAAUAAGCGGAGGA